rnacentral:rRNA from 1 species
UACAGAGGUCUCAAGCGUUGUUCGGAUUCAUUGGGCGUAAAGGGUGCGUAGGUGGCGCUGUAAGUCGGGUGUGAAAUCCUGCGGCUUAACCGCAGGGCUGCCUUCUAAACUGUCAGGCUAGAGCACAGUAGAGGCAGGUGGAAUUCCCGGUGUAGCGGUGGAAUGCGUAGAGAUCGGGAAGAACAUCAGUGGCGAAGGCGGCCUGCUGGGCUGUUGCUGGACGCUGAGGCGCGACAGCGUGGGGAGCAAACAGGG